ACUCAGCCAUCAGGGAAGUUGACAUCUUCGGUGUCUUCUGCUACGCGAACGAUUUCAAAGAUGCUCUUGAGCUCGUGGCGUCCGGCCGCGUCAACGUGAAGGCUCUCAUCACGCAUCGCUUCCCGCUUGUCGAGGCCAACAAGGCGUUCGAAACAGCACGCUCAGGCGCUGCUAUGAAAGUCGUCAUUGCUUGUGACUAGGGAAUUUCUUUAUAAAAUAUAACCCGUUUUGACGUAU
rnacentral:lncRNA from 1 species